GGCCGCGAGUAGUCGCCGUACGGUGCUGCCACCUGACGGUCCCGCCAAAAAGCCAGCAGAAGCGCCCGCGCUCGGGUGUGCUGCGUCGGUUUCCGAGCGGACGCGUCACUCGAGUUCGCGAGCUCCUGCGUGGUGGACGUGCGCGCGCUCGCUCUCCAGCAGACCGGCGGCUCGCGGAUACGAUUGUGAUUUUACUCCAUACUGUUUGUUGGGUGGUGUUUGGUGUUAUUCGGUGGUUUCUUCUGGUUAUGCUGUUUUGAAGUAAUGAACUUAACAUCGGACAUCAUGGGUGACUGGAGCAUUCGUGAAGAUUUCUGCAUGGACGACCUGAACACAGUGGUGAAGGUGGAGGAUCUGUCGGCCAUCGACCCGUACCCGUUCUACCCGAUUCUGGACGGCGCCGGCGACAUGUGUACCGGAAAGCCGGGCGACGGCUGCGACGUGUGCGGCCCGACCGAGACCCACCUGAGCAGCCUCGGCAUGAUCCCGUGUCACACGCAGCUGCCUCUGCUCGAGUGGUCCGACGUCGAGGACCAGCUCGGUGAGCCAGAGCAGGACGAGAUGCGCUGCGUCAACAUCAACCAGAUCUUCAACAUGGCCGAGAAGGCCGCGCCCCAGGAUAAAGUGAUUGUCGAGCACACGGACAAAGUGAUCAGUGACUGCAUGUGGAGCAGCAGCAGUGCCCACCGCCUGGACAUGUCCGAUCUGGGCACCUCGCCGCUGCCGGCGCUCAGUGUGGAGAGCGAUGUGGGCUUCGGCCGGCCCGACACUCCGCAGACCGAUUCGGAGUCGCAUUUCACGGACAGUGAUGACCUCAUCCAGCGCGUGCCCAAGGAGGAGAGUAUCGAGCGGAGACUCUCUCCCGUGCCCGAAAAGCCGGCCGCGGCGGUGAGCAGUGGUCGCAGUCUGCUGAAGCGCAAUCAGUUCAGUGUGAAGGUGGCGCGCGCGCCCCUGCGCCCCGAGUCCAAACCGGCGCUCCCUUCACCGAGUGGCGACAGCAGUUACUCGGGCGAUCACAGCUACUCGGCGACCAACUGCAUCGGCAUCCUCACACCGUCUCCGUCACCGUCAGAGUCCAGUUCAGAGGACGACAACAACAGCGACGCGCGCACGGGCCGGCACCACGCGCGGCGGCGCGCGCCCGUCGACUCGCAGGCGCUGCAGGAGAGGCUGCUGCACCGGCCGCUCAAGGCGCGAAAGCGCACCACUGGCGCCAUGAAGUACCGCUCCGACCGGUGUCGCAUGCCCUCCGAUGACGACCAGGCGCCGCCGGAGCGGCGCAACAACCACAACAAUAUGGAGCGGAUGCGGCGCGACCUGCUGCGCGGAGCGCUCAACAGCCUGCGCCGUCUGGUACCCGACACAGCCGGCAACGACAAGGCGCCCAAAAUCACCGUGCUCCGCGAAGCGGCCAAGUACUGCCUGAUGCUGCGCAGCAAAGAGGAGAUGCUCAACAAGCAGAAGCGACGACUGGAGGAGCAGCGGGCGACGCUGCAGCGGCGACUCGAGCUGCUGCAGCGCAACGUCUGCCACUGAGCCGGCAGUGCGCCCGCGGCCGUGGCCUGGACUCGAAUCAAUUUCACAUUGCGGUGGUCCCGGCAGAGGAGCGAGGGCGAGGACAGUGUUUGUGCGUCGGAGUCAGCUCAUCUCCUGUCAUUGUUCGCCUGUUCGCGCAUCACCCAUGAGACACUUGAACGGUUGGAUGGUUAGUUUGCUUUUAACGAGAAGCUUGUUUAGUUUAAGAGAGCUUGGAAGUGUGUUUUCUGUUGUUUGCUGGUGAAGGUAGUUACGUUGGUGACAAAGCCUUGCUUUUCGAGUCUUUUCGGCCCCCUUUUGUUGCUCAAGGCGCAGACUGUUCUUCGAAUUGUAGUCUCGCCAGAUUGCAGCGUUGGAAGAGCGGAGGCGGAGAGAAAUGAAGUGAACGACGUGUGUGCUAGGAUUGCACGCUUCUGUAGGCUGUAACCGGCGCGGCAGACUUGGACCGCACAGUGAGUAAUGUGGACACAGCCGGCCUCUCAGGUACACAUAGUCAUUAGCAACAAAUUUCCUGGCCCCCGUCGAAAUUCGCCCGGCGGCGCACUGACCGCCCCGGCUGCCACCCUGUAUAUACAGCUUGGUCAUGAUUUCGGUGCUGGUGAGCGUAAAAUUUGUGGUCGCUCCGGCGACGCUUUGAAUCGUUUGUUCGUGGAAGGUGGGCAUUGGCCGGCCGCGCGCGCGUGCGCCCCUGAGGUAGCUGCGACGGCCGGCCGCCCGUGUUGUGGUCGCGCGCACAAUGUGUAUGCCGUGAGUGUAUUUACAGUUAAGAGCCCGGUAGUUUUUUAUCGAUAUAUUUUGUGUGUGGUUUGUUAGUGUGCGGGGCGGCCGGCCGUGUUGGCCGGCCGGGUCCGCGCCUGUACAGACAUUGUGUGUGUGCGUGUGCGGGUGAGAUGUGUGUUCGGCAGGCCAGCCCGACCUGUCCCGUUUCGGCGCCGCCCCGCGCGUGUUCUGGCCGCGCGCCCCGCCCGGCGACAUGGGACCAUUUGCCUCGCAUUUUGACGCCGCCCGGUGCUUCUUCUCGGCGCCGUCCCCAGGAACGGGCGCUAGUACAAAGCAUAGAGUAAUUAUAUUAAACACAGAGCCUGGUUCCUGGGGAGGGCGCUCAAGAUGCACCCGGAAUUGUAAACAAGCUCCGAAUCGCCGCCGCGCUAAAUUGUUUUGUGUGCCAAAUUGAACAUGUUCCUUUCGCUCCCUGGAUCGACCGUGUGCUACAUGUAAAAGACAGGAGAGUAGUACUUAGUUUUAUAUUGUGUGCGGAUAGUUGCUUUCUCGGUUGUAGAGUAGUAGCAGCAGCCCGAACGGCAUAGUUAUGUGGAGUAAAAUAUAUCACUGGAGCU
rnacentral:misc_RNA from 1 species